rnacentral:rRNA from 1 species
GACGAACGCUGGCGGCGUGCUUAACACAUGCAAGUCGAACGGUAAGGCCCUUCGGGGUACACGAGUGGCGAACGGGUGAGUAACACGUGGGUGAUCUGCCCUGCACUUCGGGAUAAGCCUGGGAAACUGGGUCUAAUACCGGAUAGGACUCCGGACUGCAUGGUCUGGGGUGGAAAGCUUUUGCGGUGUGGGAUGGGCCCGCGGCCUAUCAGCUUGUUGGUGGGGUGAUGGCCUACCAAGGCGACGACGGGUAGCCGGCCUGAGAGGGUGACCGGCCACACUGGGACUGGGAUACGGCCCAGACUCCUACGGGAGGCAGCAGUGGGGAAUAUUGCACAAUGGGCGCAAGCCUGAUGCAGCGACGCCGCGUGAGGGAUGACGGCCUUCGGGUUGUAAACCUCUUUCAGCACCGACGAAGCGCAAGUGACGGUAGGUGCAGAAGAAGGACCGGCCAACGUGCCAGCCGCCGCCGUAA